rnacentral:rRNA from 1 species
UACGAAGGGGGCUAGCGUUGUUCGGAAUUACUGGGCGUAAAGCGCACGUAGGCGGUUUUCCAAGUUGGAGGUGAAAUCCCUGGGCUCAACCCGGGAACUGCCUCCAAAACUGGAUCACUCGAGUCCGAGAGAGGUGAGUGGAAUUUCCAGUGUAGAGGUGAAAUUCGUAGAUAUUGGAAAGAACACCAGUGGCGAAGGCGGCUCACUGGCUCGGUACUGACGCUGAGGUGCGACAGCGUGGGGAGCAAACAGGAUUAGAUACCCUGGUAGUCCACGCCGUAAACGAUGGGUGCUAGUUGUCAGGCAGCUUGCUGUUUGGUGACGCAGCUAACGCAUUAAGCACCCCGCCUGGGGAGUACGGUCGCAAGAUUAAA